rnacentral:rRNA from 1 species
UACGAAGGGGGCUAGCGUUGUUCGGAAUCACUGGGCGUAAAGCGCACGUAGGCGGAUUUUUAAGUCAGGGGUGAAAUCCCGAGGCUCAACCUCGGAACUGCCUUUGAUACUGGGGAUCUGGAGUCCGGGAGAGGUGAGCGGAACUGCGAGUGUAGAGGUGAAAUUCGUAGAUAUUCGCAAGAACACCAGUGGCGAAGGCGGACUCACUGGCCCGGAACUGACGCUGAGGUGCGAAAGCGUGGGGAGCAAACAGG